rnacentral:rRNA from 1 species
UACGUAGGGGGCAAGCGUUGUCCGGAAUCAUUGGGCGUAAAGAGCGCGUAGGCGGUCCGGUAAGUCGGUUGUGAAAACUGGGGGCUCAACCCUCAGAGGCCGACCGAUACUGUCGGGCUAGAGUCCGGAAGAGGCGAGUGGAAUUCCUGGUGUAGCGGUGAAAUGCGCAGAUAUCGGGAAGAACACCCGUGGCGAAGGCGGCUCUCUGGGACGGUACUGACGCUGAGACGCGAAAGCGUGGGGAGCGAACAGG